rnacentral:rRNA from 1 species
AGAGUUUGAUCAUGGCUCAGAUUGAACGCUGGCGGCAGGCCUAACACAUGCAAGUCGAACGGUAACAGGAAGCAGCUUGCUGCUUUGCUGACGAGUGGCGGACGGGUGAGUAAUGUCUGGGAAACUGCCUGAUGGAGGGGGAUAACUACUGGAAACGGUGGCUAAUACCGCAUAACGUCGCAAGACCAAAGAGGGGGACCUUCGGGCCUCUUGCCAUCAGAUGUGCCCAGAUGGGAUUAGCUUGUUGGUGAGGUAACGGCUCACCAAGGCGACGAUCCCUAGCUGGUCUGAGAGGAUGACCAGCCACACUGGAACUGAGACACGGUCCAGACUCCUACGGGAGGCAGCAGUGGGGAAUAUUGCACAAUGGGCGCAAGCCUGAUGCAGCCAUGCCGCGUGUAUGAAGAAGGCCUUCGGGUUGUAAAGUACUUUCAGCGGGGAGGAAGGUGUUGUGGUUAAUAACCACAGCAAUUGACGUUACCCGCAGAAGAAGCACCGGCUAACUCCGUGCCAGCAGCCGCGGUAAUACGGAGGGUGCAAGCGUUAAUCGGAAUUACUGGGCGUAAAGCGCACGCAGGCGGUCUGUCAAGUCGGAUGUGAAAUCCCCGGGCUCAACCUGGGAACUGCAUUCGAAACUGGCAGGCUUGAGUCUUGUAGAGGGGGGUAGAAUUCCAGGUGUAGCGGUGAAAUGCGUAGAGAUCUGGAGGAAUACCGGUGGCGAAGGCGGCCCCCCUGGACAAAGACUGACGCUCAGGUGCGAAAGCGUGGGGAGCAAACAGGAUUAGAUACCCUGGUAGUCCACGCCGUAAACGAUGUCUACUUGGAGGUUGUGCCCUUGAGGCGUGGCUUCCGGAGCUAACGCGUUAAGUAGACCGCCUGGGGAGUACGGCCGCAAGGUUAAAACUCAAAUGAAUUGACGGGGGCCCGCACAAGCGGUGGAGCAUGUGGUUUAAUUCGAUGCAACGCGAAGAACCUUACCUGGUCUUGACAUCCACGGAAGUUUUCAGAGAUGAGAAUGUGCCUUCGGGAACCGUGAGACAGGUGCUGCAUGGCUGUCGUCAGCUCGUGUUGUGAAAUGUUGGGUUAAGUCCCGCAACGAGCGCAACCCUUAUCCUUUGUUGCCAGCGGUCCGGCCGGGAACUCAAAGGAGACUGCCAGUGAUAAACUGGAGGAAGGUGGGGAUGACGUCAAGUCAUCAUGGCCCUUACGACCAGGGCUACACACGUGCUACAAUGGCGCAUACAAAGAGAAGCGACCUCGCGAGAGCAAGCGGACCUCAUAAAGUGCGUCGUAGUCCGGAUUGGAGUCUGCAACUCGACUCCAUGAAGUCGGAAUCGCUAGUAAUCGUGGAUCAGAAUGCCACGGUGAAUACGUUCCCGGGCCUUGUACACACCGCCCGUCACACCAUGGGAGUGGGUUGCAAAAGAAGUAGGUAGCUUAACCUUCGGGAGGGCGCUUACCACUUUGUGAUUCAUGACUGGGGUGAAGUCGUAACAAGGUAACCGUAGGGGAACCUGCGGUUGGAUCACCU